AUUGAACGCUGGCGGCAUGCCUUACACAUGCAAGUCGAACGGUAACAGGGCUUCUGACGCUGGCGAGUGGCGCACGGGUGAGUAAUGCAUCGGAACGUGCCCAGUCGAGGGGGGUAACUGCUCGAAAGAGGAGCUAAUACCGCAUACGACCUGAGGGGGAGAGCGGGGGACCGUAAGGCAUCGCGCGAUUGGAGAGGCCGAUGUCAGAUUAGCUAGUUGGUGGGGUAAAGGCCUACCAAGGCAACGAUCUGUAGUUGGUCUGAGAGGAUGAUCAGCCACACUGGGACUGAGACACGGUCCAGACUCCUACGGGAGGCAGCAGUGGGGAAUUUUGGACAAUGGGCGCAAGCCUGAUCCAGCAAUGCCGCGUGCAGGAAGAAGGCCUUCGGGUUGUAAACUGCUUUUGUCAGGGAAGAAAUCUUCUGGGCUAAUACCCCGGGAGGAUGACGGUACCUGAAGAAUAAGCACCGGCUAACUACGUG
rnacentral:rRNA from 1 species